rnacentral:tRNA from 1 species
AUUUAUUUAGUAUAAAAAGUAUAUUUAACUUCCAAUUAAAUGGUUCAAUAUUUUGAAAUAAGUA